rnacentral:rRNA from 1 species
CGUGUAGGCGGGAAUGCAAGUCAGAUGUGAAAUACCGAGGCUUAACUUCGGGGCUGCAUCUGAAACUGCGUUUCUUGAGUGUCGGAGAGGAAAGUGGAAUUCCCAGUGUAGCGGUGAAAUGCGUAGAUAUUGGGAGGAACACCAGUGGCGAAGGCGACUUUCUGGACGAUAACUGACGCUGAGGCGCGAAAGCGUGGGGAGCAAACAGGAUUAGAUACCCUGGUAGUCCACGCCGUAAACGAUGGAUACUAGGUGUGGGAGGGUAUCGACCCCUUCCGUGCCGCAGUUAACACAAUAAGUAUCCCCACCUGGGGAGUACGGCCGCAAGGUUGAA